GAAAUGCGAUAACUAAUGUGAAUUGCAGAAUUCAGUGAAUCAUCGAGUCUUUGAACGCACAUUGCGCCCCCUGGUAUUCCGGGGGGCAUGCCUGUCCGAGCGUCAUUGCUGCCCUCAAGCCCGGCUUGUGUGUUGGGUCGCCGUCCCCCUCUCCGGGGGGACGGGCCCGAAAGGCAGCGGCGGCACCGCGUCCGAUCCUCGAGCGUAUGGGGCUUUGUCACAUGCUCUGUAGGAUUGGCCGGCGCCUGCCGACGUUUUCCAACCAUUCUUUCCAGGUUGACCUCGGAUCAGGUAGGGAUACCCGCUGAACUUAAGC
rnacentral:misc_RNA from 1 species